rnacentral:rRNA from 1 species
GCAGUCCUACGGGAGGCAGCAGUGAGGAAUAUUGGUCAAUGGCCGAGAGGCUGAACCAGCCACGUCGCGUGAGGGAAGACUGCCCUAUGGGUUGUAAACCUCUUUUGUCAGGGAGCAACGCCGGCUACGUGUAGCCGGACUGAGAGUACCUGAAGAAAAAGCAUCGGCUAACUCCGUGCCAGCAGCCGCGGUAAUACGGAGGAUGCGAGCGUUAUCCGGAUUUAUUGGGUUUAAAGGGUGCGUAGGCGGAAUGCCAAGUCAGCGGUAAAAUCGCGGGGCUCAACCUCGCUCCGCCGUUGAAACUG